GAUGAACGCUAGCGAUAGGCUUAACACAUGCAAGUCGAGGGGCAGCACAUGAGUGGCAACACGAUGGUGGCGACCGGCGCACGGGUGAGUAACACGUAUGCAACCUGCCCAUAACUGGGGGAUAACCCGUCGAAAGGCGGACUAAUACCGCAUGACAACGAUGAUCCGCAUGGUGAUUCGUUUAAAGAUUUAUCGGUUAUGGAUGGGCAUGCGUUCCAUUAGGUAGUUGGCAGGGUAACGGCCUACCAAGCCUACGAUGGAUAGGGGUUCUGAGAGGAAGGUCCCCCACACUGGUACUGAGACACGGACCAGACUCCUACGGGAGGCAGCAGUGAGGAAUAUUGGUCAAUGGGCGAGAGCCUGAACCAGCCAAAUCGCGUGAAGGAUGAAGGUAUUAUGUAUUGUAAACUUCUUUUGUCGGGGAAUAAAGUGCGGGACGAGUCCCGUUUUGUAUGUACCCGAAGAAUAAGGAUCGGCUAACUCCGUGCCAGCAGCCGCCGUAAAAC
rnacentral:rRNA from 1 species